AGUGGCGAAAGGGUGCGUAAUGGAUAGGUAACGUACCCUGUGCUUCGGAAUAGCGGCUCGAAAGGGUCGGUAAUACCGAAUAAUAUCGCCGACGGCAAAGAUUCGGCGCAGGAGCGGCCUAUCUCCUAUCAGCUUGUUGGUGAGGUAACGGCUCACCAAGGCUAUGACGGGUAGCGGGACUGAGAGGUCGGCCCGCCACAUCGGGACUGAGACACUGCCCGGACCUCCACGGAGGGCUGCAGUAACGAAUAUUGCGCAAUGGGCGAAAGCCUGACGCAGCGACGCCGCGUGCGGGAGGAAGUCCCUCGGGAUGUAAACCGCUGUCAGGGGUAAGAAAUGAUCCAACCCAAAGGAAGUCACGGCUAACUCUGUGCCAGCAGCCGCGGUAAGACAGAGGUGGCUAGCGUUGUUCGGUGUCACUGGGCUUAGAGCGUGUGUAGGCGGAAA
rnacentral:rRNA from 1 species